UACGGAGGGUGCGAGCGUUGUCCGGAAUCACUGGGCGUAAAGGGCGCGUAGGUGGCCCAGGAAGUCGGCGGUGAAAGCCCGGCGCUCAACGCCGGGUCGGCCGUCGAUACUCUUGGGCUCGAGCUCACUAGAGGCAGAUGGAAUUCCGGGUGUAGCGGUGGAAUGCGUAGAGAUCCGGAAGAACACCGGUGGCGAAGGCGGUCUGCUGGGGUGAUGCUGACACUGAUGCGCGACAGCGUGGGGAGCAAACAGG
rnacentral:rRNA from 2 species